rnacentral:tRNA from 1 species
GUCCCUGUAGCUCAAUGGGCAGCGCGUUGGACUUCUAAUCCAAAGGUCGUGGGUUGGAAUCCCACCUGGGAUG